AAGCAGCCCAGGUGCAGGCUGCUUGGACCGGCUGCGCGGAGGCACUCGGCCAUGUGGAGACGCCUGGUUUUGUUCCCCUGCACACGGAGGAGACACAGCGAUUGCAAUUUUAUUGGGUUAACUCCCAGAUAAGGAUCCCAGUCAAAGAAAUGGAUGAGUAAGAGAACCAAGGAGAGAACAUGGGUGCUGGUGAUUGAUUUCUUGUGGUGGACCACACUUGUCCUCAGCCUGGAAAAAUUGAGUCAUGAGAGCGGUGGGACGUCCGGUGACUCAGGCGACUCUCCUUGUCACCAAGGGAACUGGUGUUUGCAAUCAGAAGAAACGGGGUUUAAAACCCAGCUCAGCCUUUACUUAUUUCAUUCUUUCACCAAUUUGAGCUCAUCUCUGCUCCCGUUCUCCCAAAGCUCUUCAGGUAAUAUCAGUUCUCAGCUUCACUUUGUGUGUGCUCAUGAUCUCGAGAUUUGA
rnacentral:lncRNA from 1 species